AUUAUACUCCCUCCGUCCGGAAAUACUUGUCGGAAGAAUGGAUGUAUCUAGACAUAUCUUAGUUCUAAAUACAUUCAUUUUUAUCCAUUUCUUCAACAAGUAUUUCCGGAUGGAGGGAGUAAGUU
rnacentral:pre_miRNA from 1 species